rnacentral:rRNA from 1 species
AAGGCCUUCGGGUUGUAAAGCUCUUUCGGUGGGGAAGAAACGGUGUGGGCUAAUACCCUGCAUUAAUGACGGUACCCAAAGAAGAAGCACCGGCUAACUACGUGC